rnacentral:rRNA from 1 species
AGCGGGUGUGAGAGCACGACCCGCGCCACUCGCACUGAGACACUGGCGAGACACCUACGGGUGGCUGCAGUCGAGGAUCUUCGGCAAUGGGCGAAAGCCUGACCGAGCGACGCCGCGUGAGCGAUGAAGGCCUUCGGGUUGUAAAGCUCUUUAGUGGGGGAGAAAAGCCGAAAGGUGUGAUCUAUCCCAAAAAUAAGCACGGGCUAAGUUCGUGCCAGCAGCCGCGGUAAGACGAACCGUGCGAACGUUAUUCGGAAUCACUGGGCUUAAAGGGAGCGUAGGCGGGCUAUCAAGUCUGGGGUGAAAUCCCACGGCUCAACCGUGGAACUGCCUUAGAUACUGACGGCCUCGAGGGAGAUAGGGGCAUGCGGAACUGUAGGUGGAGCGGUGAAAUGCGUUGAUAUCUACAGGAACUCCGGUGGCGAAAGCGGCGUGCUGGAUCUCUUCUGACGCUGAGGCUCGAAAGCUAGGGGAGCAAACGGGAUUAGAUACCCCGGUAGUCCUAGCCCUAAACGAUGGGUACUAGAUAGUAGACUAGACAUGGGUUUACUGUCGAAGCUAAAGUGCUAAGUACCCCGCCUGGGGAGUAUGGUCGCAAGGCUGAAACUCAAAGGAAUUGACGG